CGGUGACACCGGGACACAGGGACACAGGGACACCGCCACACCGGGACACCGGGACACAGGGACACCGCCACACAGGGACACAGGGAUACAGGGACACCGCCACACAGGGACACAGGGACACCGGGACACAGGGACACCGCCAUACCGGGACACAGGGACACAGGGAUACAGGGACACCGCCACACAGGGACACAGGGACACCGCCACACCGGGACACAGGGACACCGCCACACCGGCACCCCUGUCCCCGGCGCUGCGCCCGUGGCUGCUGUCCGGCCGGCUGAGGUGCGCGGGGGCUCGGCCCGUGGGGCGCACUGCCCCUGGGUUGGAGUGUCCCGGAGCGUGUCCUGCGGAGGGCAACAAUUAAGGGACGGGAGCAAGUCUUAACAAGGACAGGUUGAGGGAGCUGGGCCUGGAGAAGAGACCUCGUCAAUGUCUAUACAGCCCACCUUUCUGGUAGCAUUAGCUCUGCAGCAGGGCAGUCAGCUGGCUGAAGAUGCUGCUCUGGCUGAAAGCUGGCAUACUAUUCUGGUUUUUUCAUGCACAUUUGCAGCUGAACCUGUCACCUGACUUACUAGGCUCGCUGCAUAUCUGCACAAACAGCACCACCAGCUCCAGAAGGGGCAGAGGAACUGCAGAAAAAGAAUUCGUGAAAGGGACUCAGGAGAUGCUAUUGUCCUCUACAGCUUUCUACUACAAUAUAAUGGAUUAUUGUCAAUUCUUUUUCUUUUGUUUUAACCUUCAGUGGAUUCCUGAAAGUUCCAAAUCUGAUUACCCAAGAAUCUCUGUUGUCUGCCUUUAAGACUCCAGCCUGUAUAGUUUAAAGAGAAGCUUGAUAACACCAAAUCAAAGGCUCAAAAAAACAAAAGCAGUCGACAAAAAGAAUACUUGAUCUGUUAUUUCUGUGGUUAUGUUUCUUAAACUUCGCUGCUUUGCUAGCAGGACUGGCAUCACUUGCUUGACACAGAGCAGUGCAGAUAGAAAAGACUUGGUGGAAAUCCCAUCUCUGCUUACCAACUUCAAUUAAAAAUGUAUCAGCCAGGAAAUUCACUGCAGACAGCAGAGCAGGCAGACAUUCUGUAGCUGCUGACCUUAUUAACUACCCAGGUUUCUGCAAAUAGAGCUUUAUACCUGGAAUUUUCUUUGUGUAGAUUUAAGUCCCUGAGUGACUCCACUGAAGACAAUGUGACAGCUCACCUUGGUAACAUUAGGAAUACAAUAAUUAUUGCAGUGUCAGGGCCUGGCAGCGCAGAAACAGUUAAUUCCAGUUAUCUGGUAAGAGCUAACUCAAAGUUGUUUACUGACAAAAGAAUGAAGACGUUUAGAGUGGCAUUCUUCACUUUUGGUACUGCUGUGAAUGCUUAGGCCUUUAUAUUUGCACAAGACUUCAGAGCAGUUUCUUUGCAUACAAAGGAAAGUAUGUGAACAGCUAUCUAGCAAGAAGGAAAGAAAUUGAAAUACCUGGAAGAAAAAUACCAGUUAGAAAGGAAAAGGAACAAACCAGAAAUUCUUCUUUCAUCUGCUGUGCUAAUACAUAAGCAUAAACCUAACAAUAAACCAAUGUUGCAACACAGCAAGGGUGCUGCAGAAAUACUGAAAUACACAAUGUAAGUGCAAAUGCCUUUAAAAUAAAAUGAAGUAAAAGUUUACAAGUUCCAA